AUUGAACGCUGGCGGCAGGCCUAACACAUGCAAGUCGAGCGAGCGGGGACGGGUGAGUAAUGUAUGGGGAUCUGCCCGAUAGAGGGGAUAACACUUGGAAACAGGUGCUAAACCGAUACUGAUGGAUGGACCCGCGGUGCAUUAGCUAGUUGGUGAGGUAACGGCUCACCAAGGCCACGAUGCAUAGCCGACCUGAGAGGGUGAUCGGCCACACUGGGACUGAGACACGGCCCAGACUCCUACGGGAGGCAGCAGUGGGGAAUUUUGGACAAUGGGGGAAACCCUGAUCCAGCCAUCCCGCGUGUAUGAUGAAGGCCUUCGGGUUGUAAAGUACUUUUGGCAGAGAAGCGGUAUCUGCAGAAUAAGCACCGGCUAACUACGUGCCAGCAGCCGCGGUAAUAC
rnacentral:rRNA from 1 species